rnacentral:rRNA from 1 species
AGGGGUAUAGUAGCAAUACUAGAGACCGGCGCACGGGUGCGUAACGCGUAUGCAAUCUACCUUUUACAGAGGGAUAGCCCAGAGAAAUUUGGAUUAAUACCUCAUAGUAUAGCGACCUGGCAUCAGGAUGUUAUUAAAGUCACAACGGUAAAAGAUGAGCAUGCGUCCCAUUAGCUAGUUGGUAAGGUAACGGCUUACCAAGGCGACGAUGGGUAGGGGUCCUGAGAGGGAGAUCCCCCACACUGGUACUGAGACACGGACCAGACUCCUACGGGAGGCAGCAGUGAGGAAUAUUGGACAAUGGGCGCAAGCCUGAUCCAGCCAUGCCGCGUGCAGGAUGACGGUCCUAUGGAUUGUAAACUGCUUUUGUACAGGAAGAAACCCUUUCACGUGUGAAAGAUUGACGGUACUGUAAGAAUAAGGAUCGGCUAACUCCGUGCCAGCAGCCGCGGUAAUACGGAGGAUCCAAGCGUUAUCCGGAAUCAUUGGGUUUAAAGGGUCCGUAGGCGGCCAGAUAAGUCAGUGGUGAAAGCCCAUCGCUCAACGGUGGAACGGCCAUUGAUACUGUCUGGCUUGAAUUACAAGGAAGUAACUAGAAUAUGUAGUGUAGCGGUGAAAUGCUUAGAGAUUACAUGGAAUACCAAUUGCGAAGGCAGGUUACUACUUGUGGAUUGACGCUGAUGGACGAAAGCGUGGGUAGCGAACAGGAUUAGAUACCCUGGUAGUCCACGCCGUANACGAUGGAUACUAGCUGUUGGGAGCAAUCUCAGUGGCUAAGCGAAAGUGAUAAGUAUCCCACCUGGGGAGUACGGGCGCAAGCCUGAAACUCAAAGGAAUUGACGGGGGCCCGCACAAGCGGUGGAGCAUGUGGUUUAAUUCGAUGAUACGCGAGGAACUUUAC